UAGGGAAUAUUAGAAAUGGACGAAAGCCUGACCGAGCAACGCCGCGUGAAUGAUGAAGGCCUUCGGGUUGUAAAAUUCUGUUAUAAGGGAAGAAUGGCUCUAGUAGGAAAUGGCUAGAGUGUGACGGUACCUUAUGAGAAAGCCACGGCUAACUACGUGCCAGCAGCCGCGGUAAUACGUAGGUGGCGAGCGUUAUCCGGAAUUAUUGGGCGUAAAGAGCGCGCAGGUGGUUGAUUAAGUCUGAUGUGAAAGCCCACGGCUUAACCGUGGAGGGUCAUUGGAAACUGGUCAACUUGAGUGCAGAAGAGGGAAGUGGAAUUCCAUGUGUAGCGGUGAAAUGCGUAGAGAUAUGGAGGAACACCAGUGGCGAAGGCGGCUUCCUGGUCUGUAACUGACACUGAGGCGCGAAAGCGUGGGGAGCAAACA
rnacentral:rRNA from 1 species